AUCUUGGGGUCAUGAGUUUGAGCCCCACACUGGGUGUACAGAUUAGUUAAAUAAAUAAACUUUAAAAAAAAAAAAAAAGCUUUAUUUAAAACAAACCUUUACAUUACACACUUUCCAGAAUUUAUACUCUUAAAUUUUCACCUUACAUUAUUUAUGUUUUCUAUUAAACGUGAGGUUUCAGCCAAAUGAUAAACACCAGUAGAAUACCAGAUACAGGUCACAAUUAAAAAGUGAAAAUAACUGGCAGAAUGUUUAUUAGAUAAGGUAUAACCACAUGAAUCAAUCUAAUGACAUAAGUCUCAUCAUUUAUUCACCCAGCUUCUCUCUC